AGCAAUGUCUCACAGAGGAGCUAGCAUGGCUGUAGACUAGUCUUGUUAAACAACUAAUAAGAGGGGAUAAUUUUACUACAGCUGAGUUAUAUAAAAGUCCACAGCCUGUCUCUCUCUUUCUCCUGCAGCCACUUCAUCCCAUUCCAGGCCCUAACCUCUCGAGGUCUUGUGUUACCUCCACCCUCAUGCACAAUCACCCAACCAAGUGGAAGCUGCUUUCUGGGGUGGGGCAGAGUUUGAGACGGGUGGGGUGACUGCAGAGCCCUGUGUCCGUGAAUUCCUGAAGAGAGAAAAGAUUGGGGACAUGGAUUUUUAUGGGGGGGGGGGGCACAGGAUCAUAGGCGUGCCUCCACUGAUAGCAGAGCGCUCAUUAUACGCAUAGCACGAGACUCCUUCAAUCUGCCUUCCACGGUCAGACAUAGGCCUAUUGCUAACCCCCUGCGUGGAUUCAGACACCACACAGACAGAUAAUCCCUCCUAAAGUCUGCAAUUUGAUGUUGCUCCCCCAGAUGCACAAGACACAUUAGCAUGUAUGUGUUAUGCAUACAUACAAGCAUUGACGCACACUCACACAAAAGGGUGGGGAGGAUUUACGAUCACAGCAUGCAACUACUUUUUUGGGUUUGGGGAGAGUAAAGGAUUAUUGAUUUAGGACACUGGCCAGAUGUGUCCACAUGCCUGACACAGUGCAGUAAAAUUCAACUAUUUGCAGCAAUCUUGUCCCGCAGUGGCAUCAUUUGAUUUGUGUAGACUGAAAGGUUUUACAAUGAGUGCUUUCACUUUCCACUAUCAGUAAUGGCCUUGCUAAUGUUUCUCUCCAGGGCCUUUUCAUUCAUGUCUAAUAUAUUGUAAGUCCAUCAAUCUGUCCACACAAUGACUGACUUCUUUUCUGUGUCACAUAAAAAAUCCCAGGUCUCUUGCUCUGUCCCUGCUCUUCAUCUACAAGCCAUUUUCCAUCUCUUCAUCUCGUUGCUUUCUCAGCCUGUCAAACACCUCUCACUCUGCCCCUUUUUCCCCUCUCCUGCUAUUUUCUUUCCCCGUUUAGCAUUCACAUCACAUCCUUGUCUCUCCAUUUGGUCAGAUUUUAGGUUUGAUUAAGGGAACAGAAUCAAACUGAUGCAGUUGCUCUUUGAUAUUUAAGUGAUAUUCUGAAUCAGCAGCUCAGAGCACAUGAAGUUGAGCUGCUACCUUGCUCAGUGUGUUUCCUGUGCAUCUCUGUGUAUAUGUAAGAUUGAGCAUAUAAAUGGAGCUGGCAGGACCACAGAGCAGGACCAGACUCAGAAAGGAAGGAGCUCCACUCAAAUUAAUCUCCACUGGACAGCCCUGUAAAGGAGCAGAGCCAUUUUUGGGAGCAAGGAGCCAUCUCCUAGGAAGGCUGUGAGAAGACUGCAGAGGGAACUGUCUGUGGGAAAAUGUUGCCAGACAACACGGGGGUAUGUGACAGUGAGUGCAAGCAAAUAAAGGGACAAAAAUGUGAAAUAAGGCUAGAUGAGAUAGAUUGUCAGAUCUACAUUUGAAACUAUGAGAACUGCAGAUUUGAUGCUUUGCUCAUGCUUGAAAAAUUGCAUGUUUUAACAUGGCAGGUAACAGAAAUAAUUUAGAAGAGCCUUUACAUUUAAAUCACCUUCAGAAUUAAAUAACUUACUCUAUCUUUUCAUGACUUCAAGACUUUAUGGCUUGUUUCAAAUGUGCUUGUUCUACCUUGUGAAGCUUAUAGGUUUCAUUGCACAUCACUAGCGCCACUAGUGACAGUUGUUCACUCAUUGUAUAUCUUAGUUUCAUGCAGAGGAAGGGAUAGGGAUGUAGUGCGUGUUGUUUUGGUUGAUUUAUUUAGAUUGUUCUGUUGUUGUUUAUUUACCAUAUAUUAUAUUAUUCUUGUUGUCUGCUAAUAUUCAUGUUUCUUUUUACCAUAAUCCACCUCAAAAAGACAAUGGUGCAUCUCAUGGGGCUAACCCGCAACUUUAAAAUGUCACAUCUACUUGAAAAAAUUCCUCAACAUCAUUCCAAAAUACUACUGUAUACUUCAUCCUGAAACAAUGACAGAACUGACAUCAGGUGUAUUGUUAGGGUUUAUUACAUUCAUAGAACAGUGAUUAUCUGGUCAACCAGUACAGUAGUCGCUAAAAAUAACAUCACAUAAAGGUUAUUAACAGGUACGUCCACGUCACAAAACACAUGCUGAAUAAUUCAUUGCAUUUCUUGCUGCUUCUGAGCCUCUGGUUGGCAGAUGCAUACAGAAAGUGCUUCUCUGUUUAUGUUAACAGAGCGCCACUUUGUGGAUAAAUUAGGAAGUCCACAGAGAUAGAUGGGAAGCAAUAACCUAUAUUGAGACUAUAUGGUUGUCAUAGUUUUUUCCAUUAGGAAAUGGGUAUUAAGACUGAAAGACAAAACGAAGGUUUAGCUAGAAGGGCUCAAUGAAAUGAAAUUAUCUUAUUCCCUGUUUUAGUAUUUAUUCACCUGCAUUAUAAUAUAUGUUCCAUAACCUCCAUGUUUUCCCUGACUACCCCACCUAACGGGAACCCAUGAGAGGCCGCAGCCAGCCGAGGUGGCGCGACACUUUCUGGAAGAUGUAGCCUUUGGUGCAGUCGGCCCCUGGCGGCUGGCUGACCACCCCAGUGAGGAAGAACACCUCCUUGUACAGGGUGAGCAGGGGGCUGCCAGAGCUCAUGGUGCAGUCAGCAUUGGUCCGGGGAGUGGUGCAGCCCAUUUUAUUGGUCAUCAGGUUGGGGUGAGUCUCCAGACACUGAGACAGGCGGUUGUACGCCAGUUGGUUAAGGGUGAGCGGGCCCUGGAAAGCAGAUACCUGAUUGGGUUCUUUCCAGCCGGUGACUAUGACC